UGGGGAUGUAGUGUCUGUGUGUGUGCUGGGGGUGUAGUAUGUAUCUGUGUGUGCUGGGGAUGUAGUGUGUGUCUGUGUGAAUGCUGGGAAUGUAGCUUGUGUCUGUGUGUGCACUGCAGCCAAAACACUUACCUAUACACUGUGUCUGUGUAUAUGCAUGUGUGUCAGUGUUUGUAUCUGUAUCUGUAUGUGUGUCAGUGAUUGUAU